AUUAGUUUCUGCACAAGGUUUAAUAAAUGAUGACAGAACUCAAGUUCAUCUCCCUGCUGCCAUGACAGACUUUCUGAAUGUUGACCAGUGCAGUGCGACCUCCCGGAAUCUGCAGGCGGAGACAUUGCAGGUAGAAUCCAAAGCCACAGAAGAGCAUCAUCCUAUUCCUUAGAGAAUCCUCUUCAGUUAAUCAUAUUACAAAAGCAAACAGAACCAACUUUCACGAGGCUACCUGACCGGUGACUGAUAUGGUGACUGUGAAGAAGUGAGAAAACAUCUGUCCUGUGCUUUGGCAGAAAUACAGUCACUCGCCAAGUUCCUUGUGCCAUGGGCCCUGAGGGAGAUCAGUGUGGUCACCUCCCAAGUUUUCCAGCUCAGACACAUCUGCUUUGAGAAUGACAAAUUAAAAUAUCUUAAUUGAGCGGAGCCCGCUGCCGCCAGCCCACAUGGCCUGCAUGUGAGUUGUGGUAUUCUCAGGGUUUCAGCACAUUCCUCACAGGGCACAGGGAUAGCACUGUUUUAGAACUGACACAAGGAGGAGUUUCAGACGCCUUCCCAGGCAGCCAAGAGACUGCAGGAAAAAGACAAACUUCUGUGGGUUUCUGGAAAGUUUUAAAUUGCCCUUAGCGGUCCUCACAGUUUCCCAGUUGCAGUCUGGGAAGAAUGGCAAUGCGCUCCUAGCAUCUAAUGUGCCUCUGAGCUAAUGGGUUGUGUUAGAGCCAUUAGAUGAAUACAAGGGCUAUGGAAAACACCAAAAAACUUGCAUCAAUUUCCCUGGUUGCAGGUUGUGCAGCCUCCUUCUGAAAAUGCAGCCCACUGCGGCAAAACCAAUUCAGUGAUAUUGAAAGGGCUGUAACGCCUCGAAAAUGUCUCUUUCCAUUGCAGGAAACAUGCUUAGCAUCACAUUAAAUGGUCCUGACAGCUUGC